rnacentral:rRNA from 1 species
GUGUCAGCAGCCGCGGUAAUACGUAGGGUGCAAGCGUUAUCCGGAAUUAUUGGGCGUAAAGAGCUCGUAGGCGGUUUGUCGCGUCUGCUGUGAAAUCCCGAGGCUCAACCUCGGGCCUGCAGUGGGUACGGGCAGACUAGAGUGCGGUAGGGGAGAUUGGAAUUCCUGGUGUAGCGGUGGAAUGCGCAGAUAUCAGGAGGAACACCGAUGGCGAAGGCAGAUCUCUGGGCCGUAACUGACGCUGAGGAGCGAAAGGGUGGGGAGCAAACAGGUUUAGAUACCCUGGUAGUCCACCCCGUAAACGUUGGGAACUAGUUGUGGGGUCCUUUCCACGGAUUCCGUGACGCAGCUAACGCAAUAAGUAUCCCGCCUGGGGAGUACGGUCGCAAGGCUGAAACUCAAAGGAAUUGGCGG